AACCGAUAUGAGACUAAACACACGCCCGCACGGGUCCUCACAAAAAUCUAUUAAAUUUCUAAUAUUAUAUUCAAGAGCAUCUCUGAGUAAGCCCUAUCAUCUUCUACAACAGGAUUUCUGUCUGUGUUACUAGAUCCAAUACUAGCAGUGUAUUCUAUAAUUAAGGGUUGGUUAGAUGAAGACGACAAUUUAGACUCUCUAUGAAAUAUCCAUUCUGUAUAAUCCUUCAAAAAACCAUUCCAUACCAAAUGUUCUUCAACAGUUUGUGGAGCGAUAGCAAAACAAUUUACACAUUUUUGACAUGGACAAAAAAUAUUCCCAUUCAUUUUAGAUUUCUCAAAAGCAAAUUUAACGAAAUUCUGAACUCCAUUCAAAUAUUCGGCACUGGAUCUCGACUUAUUUAUCCAACUUUUGUCCAUUCUAUUAAAAUACUAAUUGAACUGCAAGUAAUAUAAAAAAAUAAUAAACGAAAUUAGGGUAUGAAUCACCAAUACGAACUCAUGGUACAAAAAGAUCUUGGCGAAUUUUAUUAAUACAAAAUAUAAGAUUCCGAGAAGCAUAUGUUGUUCAGUAAUUGUUAUGAACUGAUUUUUAAAUUAUUUUUUUAUAUUUGGAUUUACAUGACCAAGUCAUAAAGCUUCAGGUGCAUUUGUUUGGGCCUGCUGGAGUUACAGGAGUUGUUUUAUUUGCUACUAACAACCCACCAAAAGGACGACGUGGCUAUGAGAAGAUGAGAAGAUGAUCAGUUAUCAUUUUUAAGAUCAAAAUAAUGGUCUCCAGACUUCUCUAAUGUAGAGGCAAGCAAUGAGAAGAUGGUCAACUAUUUCCUCAUUAGUGAAUGAUGAUCCUUGGAUGGCUGAGUUCAUUGGAAACCAUCACUGGCACUGCAGAAGUUUGAUGUCUUCAUAUAUUUUCCAAUAAAAGCCUUUCAAUUUAAAACCAGAGGCAGUAGAGUAUAAAGAUCCCUACCUGGAAACUUGAAUCUUUGCCUGUUCAACAGAUCUGCAAGCUAAUUUGAAGCCAUAGAUCAUGGAAUCCUGUUAAAAGAGGCCUAGAUCUGCAAUUCUUGACCUAUUGAAAACUUUCAAAGCUCAUAUACGUGUACUACAAUUUCUGAGGGAGCUGAACACAAGAAACAUAUGAGUUGGCCAGUUGAAACUCAGAACCCAUAACAUCUAAGGCUAACUGCUUCAGAUUAAUGCCUACCGUUUGCCCACCUCACCAAACUAGAAUAUGUUUU